GCUUACGGCCACACCAACCUGGCUAUGCCCGAUCUCGUCUGAUCUCGGAAGCUAAGCAGGUUUGGGCCUGGUUAGUACUUGGAUGGGAGACCGCCUGGGAAUACCAGGUGCUGUAAGCU
ensembl:rRNA 5S_rRNA 5S ribosomal RNA